rnacentral:rRNA from 1 species
UACAGAGGGUGCGAGCGUUGUUCGGAAUCAUUGGGCGUAAAGGGCGUGUAGGCGGUUUGUUAAGUCAUGUGUGAAAUCCCUCGGCUCAACCGGGGAACGACGCAUGAAACUGGCAAGCUAGAGUACCAAAGAGGGGGGUGGAAUUCCCGGUGUAGCGGUGAAAUGCGUAGAUAUUGGGAGGAACACCAGUGGCGAAGGCGGUCCCCUGGGCCGGAACUGACGCUGAGGCGCGAAAGCGUGGGUAGCAAACGGG